CUGAUUUUUCUCUCCUCUUUUUCUUAGUCAUGUCUUUCUCUCUUCCUAUGUAAUGUUUCUACAAGUAUGUUCCAAUUUUGUUAGUUAUAUAUGUAAUAGCUUAUUGAGGACAUGUAGAAAGCAAAAGAAGAGAUGGAAAAACUGAAAGGGGAGGCACAAGCCAACAAGGAUCACAUGCUACAGGUGGUUUGGAUUUUUUACUUGGAUUUCUUAUAUGAUACUCUUAACUUUUUAAAUAUUUUAUGAUAUUUUUUUAACAAUAUAAAGAAAUAGCACAAGUGAAUGAAGUUGCAUUGAAGCAAAUUGAAUCUGCUCAUGACAAAUUCAAGGCUGAGGCUGACAAGCUAAAGAAGUCAUUGGAGGAUGAAAUUCACUUUCUCAAGGGAAGGGUUUCAGAACUUGAAAGUGAUCUUGUGUCAAAGUCUAUAGAAGUUACAUCUGUAGUUUCAGGGAAAGAAGAAGCUCUAUCUUCUUAUGAUAGGUUGAGCAAAGUGAAGUAUUGUUUAUUUAGAAAUGUGAAUGUGGGAUGCAUUGUAUGAUUUGAUUACUAUUCGUAAUAAAUGCAUCGUUGUUUUUUUU